rnacentral:rRNA from 1 species
CAGUCGCCGCGGGAAUACGAAGGGCGCAAGCGUUAAUCGGAAUUACUGGGCGUAAAGCGUGCGCAGGCGGUUAUAUAAGACAGAUGUGAAAUCCCCGGGCUCAACCUGGGACCUGCAUUUGUGACUGUAUAGCUAGAGUACGGUAGAGGGGGAUGGAAUUCCGCGUGUAGCAGUGAAAUGCGUAGAUAUGCGGAGGAACACCGAUGGCGAAGGCAAUCCCCUGGACCUGUACUGACGCUCAUGCACGAAAGCGUGGGGAGCAAACAGGAUUAGAUACCCCAGUAGUCCCUGUCUCUUAUAA